rnacentral:rRNA from 1 species
AUACGGAGGAUCCAAGCGUUAUCCGGAUUUAUUGGGUUUAAAGGGUGCGUAGGCGGACUGGUAAGUCAGCUGUGAAAGUUUGCGGCUUAACCGUAAAAUUGCAGUUGAUACUGUCAGUCUUGAGUGUGCAUGAGGUGGGCGGAAUUUGUGGUGUAGCGGUGAAAUGCUUAGAUAUCACGAGGAACUCCAAUUGCGAAGGCAGCUCACUGGGACAUAACUGACGCUGAUGCACGAAGGUGUGGGUAUCAAACAGGAUUAGAUACCCUGGUAGUCCACACAGUAAACUAUGAAUACUCGCUGUUUGCGAUAUACAGUAAGCGGCCAAGCGAAAGCAUUAAGUAUUCCACCUGGGGAGUACGCCGGCAACGGUGAAACUUAAAGGAAUUGACGGGG